GACGAACGCUGGCGGCGUGCCUAAUACAUGCAAGUUGAGCGAUGAAGAUUGGUGCUUGCACCAAUUUGAAGAGCAGCGAACGGGUGAGUAACGCGUGGGGAAUCUGCCUUUGAGCGGGGGACAACAUUUGGAAACGAAUGCUAAUACCGCAUAACAACUUUAAACAUAAGUUUUAAGUUUGAAAGAUGCAAUUGCAACACUCAAAGAUGAUCCCGCGUUGUAUUAGCUAGUUGGUGAGGUAAAGGCUCACCAAGGCGAUGAUACAUAGCCGACCUGAGAGGGUGAUCGGCCACAUUGGGACUGAGACACGGCCCAAACUCCUACGGGAGGCAGCAGUAGGGAAUCUUCGGCAAUGGACGAAAGUCUGACCGAGCAACGCCGCGUGAGUGAAGAAGGUUUUCGGAUCGUAAAACUCUGUUGGUAGAGAAGAACGUUGGUGAGAGUGGAAAGCUCAUCAAGUGACGGUAACUACCCAGAAAGGGACGGCUAACUACGUG
rnacentral:rRNA from 1 species